ACUAUAAAGUGAUCAAAUCAUAUUAUAAUUGUUACACGGAAAAAAGUGAAAAAAUAUGUCUAAGACUAUAAUGUUUUUGUAUGCUAUGACUUUAUUUCUUUUCUUACUUCAUAUUGAAAAGAGCAGUGGUGUUUUAAUUGACUGCAAAACAGUUAAAGAUUGUCCAACCAGUUAUACUAAAAUAUAUAGGUGCGAAGACAAUAAAUGUAGAUUUAGUUUUGUGAUUGGACUGUGAUUAUAUGAGCUCCAAGAGAGUACACUUAUGCAUGAAAGAAUGAGUCCUUUUAUUAGCAACAAAUCUAUGCAAUAAACUUUUUGAUAAAAUAAUAUAGAGUUGCCAUUUAGUUGUUGUGUUGGCACCUAAUAAUUGUAUUUUUUUUUUUAAAUUUCGUUUUAUUGUGUAAUUUUAUGAACCUUUCAAUUAUGCCAUUGUAAUCUAAGAUAUUGGUAAUGAAAUGGAUCAAGAUACUAAAGAAUAUUAUAA